rnacentral:misc_RNA from 1 species
AACGCACAUUGCGCCCGCCAGCACUCUGGCGGGCAUGCCUGUUCGAGCGUCAUUUCAACCCUCAGGGCCCCUCCGCGGGCGCUGGCGUUGGGGAUUGGCAGCCAGCCAGCCCCGAAAUCUAGUGGCGGUCCCUCCGCGACCUCCCCUGUGCAGUAGCGAUACCUCGCAGCGGGACAGCGGUCUGACCACGCCGUAAAACCCCCUACUUCUCAAGGUUGACCUCGGAUCAGGUAGGACUACCCGCUGAACUUAA